UGGCUCACUCCGCGCGGUACAUCCGAUAAUUACCUACAGCGAAGCGCCCCGCCGGCGGGUAUUAUAUCAGUCGAGUGUCACGCGCGCGCCCCUCAGGACGCUGGCGUGCGUUGUAGUAUGAUUAUAAUUCUAUGAUCGAAGUAUUAUUUAAAAAUGGACAUAAAGAGAAAGAAAUAUUGUGCGGCGUUCGGGUGUUAAAAUUCGAAAAGAAAUCUACCGGGUUUAUCUUUUUUUUUCGCUUCCCAAAGAUGCUGAAAGGUAUGUUGGCCAUGUAGGUAAUCAAUAAUUCUUAGGAUAGUAUAGGAACCUAACCUACCAUGACUACUGCUCAGAAUUCGUUCGUUCGUUUCAGCCAAAUGACGUCCACUGCUGGACAAAGGCCUCUCCCAAGGUUUUCCAUAAUGAAUGCAUACUUACCUACAUACGUACCUCAUUACAAAUAAGUACCUAGAUUAAUUAUUUUUUCACUAGACAGCAACCCUAACAGCGUAAGAAGAGUUCAGAGGCACGCGAUAGAAAGAGACAAAACUUGUAGGUGAAUAAAAUUGUAGGUACGUAGUGCUGUGCGAGCUGAAUUCCACUGUAUCGCGUCGUAGCAAGACUCGCAUUUAUUUAAAUCGUCUUGCGGAGUAAUCCUUCUGUACCUGUACUAUUACUUAUUCUGUGGUAGUAGUCAUAAAUAAGACGCAAUAUGCUGAACAGCUGAAAGCGAACAAAAGUGAGCCUGUUUAAGUGUGAAAUUGAAAUUACAUAGAUGUGGUGUCAAGUUAUAAAAGCAGCCGCUGUCACAUUCUGGGCUGUAGCCAAGCAACCACGCGGAGACCGGACACGAUGAGGCUUGUGCUGAUUUGCUCCCUGGUCCUGCUGGCGUACGCCGCGACUGGAGCAAAUGCGUCCGCCAGCGCCGGCCCCGCGCCCCCCACGACGCCUGGGCCGUCUACGACGACCCCUAGCGUGACCACGACAACCCCUGCCGUCACCACCACGACUCCAGCCGUGACCACGACGACUCCAGCAGUGACCACGACGACUCCAGCGCCGACCACGACCACACGAGCAACAAGGAGACCGCGGCCGCGGUAUUUCUAAUUUCCUGACUGAUGCAGCAGGCCACAGUUCCAGCUACCCAUUUCCGUUUUUUCUCUCGCUCUCAUAAAAUAAAUCUUUGCGAUAGAACGCGACGACAUUAAAUGUCCCGGAAAUGGGUAGCUGGAACUGUGGUACAUAAUACCUAAUACAUUUUGGUAACUCACUACAAGAGAUGUUUUUUUUUGUUAAUCGAAGUUUUGUGUCAAAAUGAUCAUUAUUGUGUUAGAAAAAUAAAAGCAAUUGUUUCAGAAAAUGA